CACGGGGGGAGCAAGCGUUGUUCGGAAUCACUGGGCGUAAAGGGUGUCUAGGCGGUCAGGUAAGUGAGAUGUGAAAUGCCCCGGCUUACCCGGGGACCGGCAUCUCAUACUGUCUGGCUUGAGUAUGGGAGAGGAUGAGGGAAUUCCUGGUGUAGCGGUGAAAUGCGUAGAUAUCAGGAGGAACACCGGUGGCGAAAGCGCUCAUCUGGCCCAAUACUGACGCUGAGGCGCGAAAGCUAGGGGAGCAAACGGG
rnacentral:rRNA from 1 species